GAUGAACGCUAGCGGCAGGCUUAACACAUGCAAGUCGGGGGGCAGCAUAAUGGAUAGCAAUAUCUAUGGUGGCGACCGGCGCACGGGUGCGUAACGCGUAUGCAACCUACCUUUAACAGGGGGAUAACACUGAGAAAUUGGUACUAAUACCCCAUAAUAUCAUAGAAGGCAUCUUUUAUGGUUGAAAAUUCCGAUGGUUAGAGAUGGGCAUGCGUUGUAUUAGCUAGUUGGUGGGGUAACGGCUCACCAAGGCGACGAUACAUAGGGGGACUGAGAGGUUAACCCCCCACACUGGUACUGAGACACGGACCAGACUCCUACGGGAGGCAGCAGUGAGGAAUAUUGGUCAAUGGACGCAAGUCUGAACCAGCCAUGCCGCGUGCAGGAUGACGGCUCUAUGAGUUGUAAACUGCUUUUGUACGAGGGUAAACGCAGAUACGUGUAUCUGUCUGAAAGUAUCGUACGAAUAAGGAUCGGCUAACUCCGUG
rnacentral:rRNA from 1 species